CUCUACCCUAAAUAAAUAACAAACAAGAUCUUGAUCACGCAAGAUAAUUAGUACUAUGAAGUUUUAUGGGACUAACUUGUAAAGAAGGAUUAUCAAUCAUAUUACUCAUCUUGGUCUCUGAAAAUUCCCCUUUUCCUUUGAAAAUUUUUAAUAUCAAACCAACAACUAAAUGGCAAGGAAAAAAAUUUGAAACAAAAAAGAGCAAAAAGAGG
rnacentral:misc_RNA from 1 species